CCUACGGGGGGCUGCAGUGAGGAAUUUUGCGCAAUGGGGGAAACCCUGACGCAGCAACGCCGCGUGAGUGAUGAAGGCCUUCGGGUCGUAAAGCUCUGUCAAGUGGGAAGAACCUGCAGAAAGCUAACAUCUUUUUGCACUGACGGUACCACUGAAGGAAGCACCGGCUAACUCCGUGCCAGCAGCCGCGGUAAUACGGAGGGUGCAAGCGUUAUUCGGAAUUAUUGGGCGUAAAGGGCGCGUAGGCGGCCGUUUAAGUCAGGUGUGAAAGCCCGGGGCUUAACCCCGGAAGUGCAUUUGAUACUGAGCGGCUUGAGUAUGGGAGAGGGAAGUGGAAUUCCUGGUGUAGAGGUGAAAUUCGUAGAUAUCAGGAGGAACACCGGUGGCGAAGGCGACUUCCUGGACCAAUACUGACGCUGAGGCGCGAAGGCGUGGGGAUCAAACAGGAUUAGAUACCCUGGUAGUC
rnacentral:rRNA from 1 species